UAGGGAAUCUUCCGCAAUGGGCGAAAGCUUGACGGAGCAACGCCGCGUGAGUGAUGAAGGUCUUCGGAUCGUAAAACUCUGUUAUUAGGGAAGAACAAAUGUGUAAGUAACUAUGCACGUCUUGACGGUACCUAAUCAGAAAGCCACGGCUAACUACGUGCCAGCAGCCGCGGUAAUACGUAGGUGGCAAGCGUUAUCCGGAAUUAUUGGGCGUAAAGCGCGCGUAGGCGGUUUUUUAAGUCUGAUGUGAAAGCCCACGGCUCAACCGUGGAGGGUCAUUGGAAGCUGGAAAACUAGAGUGCAGAAGAGGAAAGUGGAAUUCCAUGUGUAGCGGUGAAAUGCGCAGAGAUAUGGAGGAACACGAGUGGCGAAGGCGACUUUCUGGUCUGUAACUGACGCUGAUGUGCGAAAGCGAGGGGAUCAAACAGG
rnacentral:rRNA from 1 species